CGAACACACAUGCAGUUUCAAUGUACGAAAUGUAAACGGCGCAAAAUUUAAGAACAAAUCGCAAAUGUUAUGCUCAGUCAGUCGGCCGCCGUUGUUCGUCUCUUGCUGUUAGCAGUUUUUCAUUUGUCGCAGUGGAAAAUUUAUUAUUAAAAUUUUUGCUAUUCAAACAUGUUACAACUCUCAUUGAUGUAUAAUAAAUUAUGUUUUCCUAAACGCCAAAUGAAGCCAAAAACAACGUUUUCCUCCUCAACAUAACAAGAAACUCUUCAAGAACGUAACAACUUCUAAAAACAAAACAAAAACCUUAAAAUCAUUAAACGUUUUUAAGAAAGAAGUAGGAGUGAAAUAGAGCUUAUUUUGUUAUUUUGUUCAACAACUACAACAAUAACAACAACAACAUAUAAGCUAAAUAAAAAAAUUUUACUUUUAUUUUUUUUGGGGUUUGGAGAAUUGAAUUUGGAGAAUUACGUUGUGCUUAAUAUAUAAUAUUGAUUUCUGUUAACAUUGCAUAGUAUUAGGAUCAUUUAAUAUUUAUUUAUUUAUUUGAAGUCAGUUAGUUUCUAUUAAACCAUUUCAACUCAUACACAUACACACGCACUUUGUAAUAUAAGUGUGUAGUAGUGUAUCUAGUACAUUUCUAAAAAAGUUUAAAUUUUUAGUUUAAUCAACAAAAAACCUCGCUGCAAUUUGCUAAAUCACCAAAAAAUCUUGAUUUAAAAAAAUAUUUAAAAUAUUUUUUUUUAAUUCAUUAUUAAUAUGAAAGCUGCAAAAAUGAAAUUUAAGCGCAAAUAUGGCUGUUUGAAUAUUUGAAAAAUCUCUAAUUUUUCGAAUAUUUGUUUCGUAGUAUUUAAGUUUUUAUUCCCCUGCCUCCUUUAAGCAUACAUCAAUCCGAUUUUUAUAAAUUUUAUAAAAUCAUUUCUUUAAAUUAUUAUUGUUUUUAAGUUUGUUACUUCAAACUCAAAUAGGCACUCCAUUUUAGAAAAAAAUUUUUUCACAAAAAGUUUGCAUUUGUCUUUUAAAUUUGUUAUA